rnacentral:rRNA from 1 species
GCAACCUGCCCCGAAGACUGGGAUAACACCGGGAAACCGGUGCUAAUACCGGAUGUCUUCCACUGACCGCAUGAUCGGUGGAAGAAAUGUCUUUUCGCUUCGGGAGGGGCUCGCGGUCCAUCAGCUUGUUGGCGGGGUAACAGCCCACCAAGGCAACGACGGAUAGCUGGUCUGAGAGGACGAUCAGCCACACUGGAACUGAGACACGGUCCAGACUCCUACGGGAGGCAGCAGUGGGGAAUCUUGCGCAAUGGGCGAAAGCCUGACGCAGCAACGCCGCGUGAGGGAUGAAGGCUUUCUGAGUUGUAAACCUCUUUCGACAGGGACGAUUGUGACGGUACCUGUAGAAGAAGCACCGGCCAACUAUGUGCCAGCAGCCGCGGUGAUACAUAGGGUGCGAGCGUUAUUCGGAUUUAUUGGGCGUAAAGAGCUCGUAGGCGGUUCGAUAAGUCGGGUGUUAAACCCCCAGGCUCAACCUGGGGCCGCCACCCGAAACUAUCGUGACUUGAGUUUGGUAGGGGAUCACGGAAUUCCUGGUGUAGCGGUGGAAUGCGCAGAUAUCAGGAAGAACACCAGUAGCGAAGGCGGUGAUCUGGGCCAAUACUGACGCUGAAGAACGAAAGCGUUGGGAGCGAACAGGAUUAGAUACCCUGGUUAUCCACGCCGUAAACGGUGGGCACUAGGUGUGGGGACUUUUCAACGGUUUCCGCGCCGCAGCUAACGCAUUAAGUGCCCCGCCUGGGGAGUACGGCCGCAAGGCUAAAACUCAAAGAAAUUGACGGGGGCCCGCACAAGCAGCGGAGCAUGUGGCUUAAUUCGAUGCAACGCGAAAAACCUUACCUAGAUUUGACAUGCUGGGAAAAGCCGCAGAGAUGCGGUGUCCUUCGGGGCUCGGCACAGGUGGUGCAUGGCUGUCGUCAGCUCGUGUCGUGAGAUGUUGGGUUAAGUCCCGCAACGAGCGCAACCC